GGGGAAUAUUGCACAAUGGGCGAAAGCCUGAUGCAGCAACGCCGCGUGAGUGAUGAAGGCCUUCUGGUUGUAAAGCUCUGUCUUCUGGGACGAUAAUGACGGCACCAGAGGAGGAAGCCACGGCUAACUACGUGCCAGCAGCCGCGGUAAUACGUAGGUGGCAAGCGUUGUCCGGAUUUACUGGGCGUAAAGGAUGCGUAGGCGGAUACUUAAGUCAGAUGUGAAAAUCCCGGGCUUAACUUGGGAACUGCAUUUGAAACUGGGUAUCUAGAGUGUGGGAGAGGAAAGUGGAAUUCCUAGUGUAGCGGUGAAAUGCGUAGAGAUUAGGAAGAACACCAGUGGCGAAGGCGACUUUCUGGACCAUAACUGACGCUGAGGCAUGAAAGCGUGGGGAGCAAAC
rnacentral:rRNA from 1 species